rfam:Yersinia aldovae ATCC 35236 contig00305, whole genome shotgun sequence.
GCUAAUUGCUACGAUAUCAUUAUAAUGCCCGACCUUAGUGCCGAUCGCAGUGUCAAUUUCGUCGUAAAAAGGUGACAAAUCGGUGACAUCAGGUUAUUUUUU